rnacentral:lncRNA from 1 species
GGUGAAUGCUGAGCUGUACCCCACAUUCGUCAGGAACCUCGGAGUGAUGGUGUGUUCCUCCCUGUGUGACAUAGGUGGGAUAAUCACCCCCUUCAUAGUCUUCAGGCUGAGGGAGGUCUGGCAAGCCUUGCCCCUCAUUUUGUUUGCGGUGUUGGGCCUGCUUGCCGCGGGAGUGACGCUACUUCUUCCAGAGACCAAGGGGGUCGCUUUGCCAGAGACCAUGAAGGACGCCGAGAACCUUGGGAGAAAAGCAAAGCCCAAAGAAAACACGAUUUACCUUAAGGUCCAAACCUCAGAACCCUCGGGCACCUGAGAGAGAUGUUUUGCGGCGAUGUCGUGUUGGAGGGAUGAAGAUGGAGUUAUCCUCUGCAGAAAUUCCUAGACGCCUUCACUUCUCUGUAUUCUUCCUCAUACUUGCCUACCCCCAAAUUAAUAUCAGUCCUAAA